rnacentral:rRNA from 1 species
UACGGAGGGAGCUAGCGUUGUUCGGAAUUACUGGGCGUAAAGCGCACGUAGGCGGCUUUGUAAGUCAGAGGUGAAAGCCUGGAGCUUAACUCCAGAACUGCCUUUGAGACUGCAUCGCUUGAAUCCAGGAGAGGUGAGUGGAAUUCCGAGUGUAGAGGUGAAAUUCGUAGAUAUCCGGAGGAACACCGGAGGCGAAGGCGGCGAUCUGGAAGACCACUGACACUGAGCAGCGAAAGCGUGGGGAGCAAACAGG